rnacentral:rRNA from 1 species
CAGCCGCCGCGGUAAUACGUAGGGUGCGAGCGUUAAUCGGAUUUACUGGGCGUAAAGCGUGCGCAGGCGGCCCGUUAAGACAGGUGUGAAAUCCCUGGGCUCAACCUAGGAAUUGCGCUUGUGACUGGCGGGCUCGAGUACGGUAGAGGGGGGUGGAAUUCCUGGGGUAGCAGUGAAAUGCGUAGAGAUCAGGAGGAACACCGAUGGCGAAGGCAGCCCCCUGGGCCUGUACUGACGCUCAUGCACGAAAGCUUGGGGAGCAAACAGGAUUAGAUACCCUGGUAGUCCACGCCCUAAACGAUGGGUACUAGCCGUUUGGUGCGCGAUAGCGCUGAGUGGCGAAGCUAACGCGUGAAGUACCCCGCCUGGGGAGUACGGCCGCAAGGUUGAAACUUAAAGGAAUUGGCGGG